GAUGAACGCUAGCUACAGGCUUAACACAUGCAAGUCGAGGGGAAACGGCAUUGAGUGCUUGCACUCUUUGGACGUCGACCGGCGCACGGGUGAGUAACGCGUAUCCAACCUUCCCAUUACUGUGGGAUAACCUGCCGAAAGGCAGACUAAUACCGCAUAGUCUUCGAUGACGGCAUCAGAUUUGAAGUAAAGAUUUAUCGGUAAUGGAUGGGGAUGCGUCUGAUUAGCUUGUUGGCGGGGUAACGGCCCACCAAGGCGACGAUCAGUAGGGGUUCUGAGAGGAAGGUCCCCCACAUUGGAACUGAGACACGGUCCAAACUCCUACGGGAGGCAGCAGUGAGGAAUAUUGGUCAAUGGACGGAAGUCUGAACCAGCCAAGUAGCGUGCAGGAUGACGGCCCUAUGGGCUGUAAACUGCUUUUGUAUGGGGAUAAAGUUAGGGACGUGUCCCUAUUUGCAGGUACCAUACGAAUAAGGACCGGCUAAUUCCGUGC
rnacentral:rRNA from 1 species